CUACGGGUUGCUGCAGUGAGGAAUAUUGCACAAUGGGGGGAACCCUGAUGCAGCAACGCCGCGUGGAGGAUGACGCAUUUCGGUGUGUAAACUCCUUUUAUAUGUCAAGAAAAUGACGGUAGCAUAUGAAUAAGCGCCGGCUAACUCCGUGCCAGCAGCCGCGGUAAUACGGAGGGCGCAAGCGUUACUCGGAAUCACUGGGCGUAAAGGACGCGUAGGCGGGUUGAAAAGUCUGGUGUGAAAGCCUACAGCUUAACUGUAGAACUGCACUUGAAACUCUCAAUCUAGAGUAUGGGAGGGGCAGAUGGAAUUAGUGGUGUAGGGGUAAAAUCCGUAGAUAUCACUAGGAAUACCUAAAGCGAAGGCGAUCUGCUGGAACAUUACUGACGCUAAGGCGUGAAAGCGUGGGGAGCAAACAGGAUUAGAUACCUCUGUAGUC
rnacentral:rRNA from 1 species